rnacentral:rRNA from 1 species
CUUCGGCGGGCCCGCCUUAACUGGCCGCCGGGGGGCUUACGCCCCCGGGCCCGCGCCCGCCGAAGACACCCUCGAACUCUGUCUGAAGAUUGUAGUCUGAGUGAAAAUAUAAAUUAUUUAAAACUUUCAACAACGGAUCUCUUGGUUCCGGCAUCGAUGAAGAACGCAGCGAAAUGCGAUACGUAAUGUGAAUUGCAAAUUCAGUGAAUCAUCGAGUCUUUGAACGCACAUUGCGCCCCCUGGUAUUCCGGGGGGCAUGCCUGUCCGAGCGUCAUUGCUGCCCUCAAGCCCGGCUUGUGUGUUGGGCCCCGUCCUCCGAUUCCGGGGGACGGGCCCGAAAGGCAGCGGCGGCACCGCGUCCGGUCCUCGAGCGUAUGGGGCUUUGUCACCCGCUCUGUAGGCCCGGCCGGCGCUUGCCGAUCAACCCAAAUUUUUAUCCAGGUUGACCUCGGAUCAGGUAGGGAUACCCGCUGAACUUAACAU